rnacentral:lncRNA from 1 species
UUGAAAGGACCAGAUCUUAAAUUUCUCCCCUCUCCAGCCACCGUGUAAAGCCGGUGCCGUCGCCGGUUGCCGGCGACUGACACGGCGGCUGAUGGUCGUACCUCUGGCCGAUUUUUGGGGAGAGAACAGGGGUCUGGGAGUUUUUUUUAGUUUUUUUUUGUUUUAAGAAAAGGAAAAAUGAAAGAAUUAGAAGAGAUUUGGCUUUUAUAGCACUACUAAAACGACGUCGUUUCACUUGGGGGAUUUUAGUGCAAAACGGCUCCGUUUGGCGCAACCUGACCUGUACCCAAGGAUCCGCGUAUUUCCAUACUAAUGGGAUAUUUAUUUGGCGAGUCCUUCUAUUUCUCUCGUGAUUUUCAAUCCUAUCCUCUC